CGUAGGGUGCGAGCGUUAAUCGGAAUUACUGGGCGUAAAGCGUGCGCAGGCGGUUUGUUAAGAUAGGCGUGAAAUCCCCGGGCUCAACCUGGGAACUGCGCUUAUGACUGGCAAGCUAGAGUACGGCAGAGGGGGUGGAAUUCCACGUGUAGCAGUGAAAUGCGUAGAGAUGUGGAGGAACACCAAUGGCGAAGGCAGCCCCCUGGGUCGAUACUGACGCUCAUGCACGAAAGCGUGGGUAGCAAACAGGAUUAGAUACCCUGGUAGUCCACGCCCUAAACGAUGUCUACUAGUUGUCGGGUCUUAAAUUGACUUGGUAACGCAGCUAACGCGUGAAGUAGACCGCCUGGGGAUACGGUCGCAAGAUUA
rnacentral:rRNA from 1 species